CCGCACGGGUGAGUAACACGUAUCCAGCCUGCCGUCUACUCUUGGACAGCCUUCUGAAAGGAAGAUUAAUACAAGAUGGCAUCAUGAGUCCGCAUGUUCACAUGAUUAAAGGUAUUCCGGUAGACGAUGGGGAUGCGUUCCAUUAGAUAGUAGGCGGGGUAACGGCCCACCUAGUCUUCGAUGGAUAGGGGUUCUGAGAGGAAGGUCCCCCACAUUGGAACUGAGACACGGUCCAA
rnacentral:rRNA from 1 species